GAUGAACGCUGGCGGCGUGCCUAAUACAUGCAAGUCGAGCGAACAGACGAGGAACUUGCUCCUCUGACGUUAACUGCGGACGGGUGAGUAACACGUGGAUAACCUACCUAUUAGACUGGGAUACCUUCGGGAAAGCGUAGCUAAUGGCAGAUAAUAUUUAUAACCUCAUGGAUCAUUAGUGAGAGACGUUUUUGCUUUCACGUAUAGAUGGAUCCGCGCAGCAUUAGCUAGUUUGUAAUGUAACGUCUUACCAAGGCAACGAUGCGUAGCCGACAUGAAAGGGAGAACGGCCAAACUGGAAGUGAGACACGGUCCAGACUCCUACGCGAGGCAGCAGUAGGGAAUCUUACGCAAUGGGCGAAAGCCUGACGGAGCACAGUCGAGUGAGUGAUGAUGGUCUUAGGAUCGUAAAACGAUGUAAUUAGGGAAGAACAAAUGUGUAAGUAAAUAUGAACGUAUUGACGGUACCUAAGCAGAAAGCCACGGCUAACUACGUG
rnacentral:rRNA from 1 species